GUUAAGAUGGCAGAGCCCGGUAACUGCAUAAAACUUAAACCUUUAUAAUCAGAGGUUCAACUCCUCUUCUUAACAAA
rnacentral:tRNA from 1 species